rnacentral:rRNA from 1 species
UACAGAGGGUGCAAGCAUUAAUCGGAUUUAUUGGGCGUAAAGGGCGCGUAGGCGGAAACAAAAGUUUGGCGUGAAAUUCCGGAGCUCAACUUCGGAACUGCGUCGAAAACUCUGUUUCUAGAGGGUAGGCGGGGAAAAUGGAACUCCACAAGUAGCGGUGAAAUGCGUAGAUAUGUGGAAGAACACCGGUGGCGAAGGCGAUUUUCCAGCUUAUUUCUGACGCUGAGGCGCGAAAGCAAGGGGAUCAAACAGG